GGCCAGUCUUCGCGAGCGAAGAUCCGGGGAAGGUCUUUACACCUUCCAGCCUGCGCAUUGGAUUUUUUUUAGGUGAGACACAGUGUGCGCGGAACUGAGCCCACCCUUUAAUCCUAAGGUUCAUCUGCCGGGGCCAAGCGAGCUUGGACGGUGGCAGCGAGGUCCUUAGGACGUAGGUGGGUUGCCUUUAAGGGCUAACGAGCCCCACCUGCCCGGGAGUGGCCCUGACCGGGAAUCGAACC